UACGGAGGUCCCAAGCGUUAUCCGGAUUUAUUGGGUUUAAAGGGUGCGUAGGCGGGCUAUUAAGUCAGUGGUGAAAGCCCCAGCUUAACUUGGGAACUGCCAUUGAUACUGAUGGUCUUGAGUACAUUUGAGGUGGGCGGAAUGUGUCAUGUAGCGGUGAAAUGACUUAGAUAUGACACAGAACACCGAUUGCGAAGGCAGCUCACUAAAC
rnacentral:rRNA from 1 species